CCUACGGGAGGCAGCAGUGAGGAAUAUUGGUCAAUGGACGAGAGGCUGAACCAGCCAAGUAGCGUGAAGGAUGACUGCCCUAUGGGUUGUAAACUUCUUUUAUAUGGGAAUAAAGUUUUCCACGUGUGGGAUUUUGUAUGUACCAUAUGAAUAAGCAUCGGCUAACUCCGUGCCAGCAGCCGCGGUAAUACGGAGGAUGCGAGCGUUAUCCGGAUUUAUUGGGUUUAAAGGGAGCGUAGGUGGAUUGUUAAGUCAGUUGUGAAAGUUUGCGGCUCAACCGUAAAAUUGCAGUUGAAACUGGCAGUCUUGAGUACAGUAGAGGUGGGCGGAAUGCGUGGUGUAGCGGUGAAAUGCUUAGAUAUCACGAAGAACUCCGAUUGCGAAGGCAGCUCACUGGACUGCAACUGACACUGAGGCUCGAAAGUGUGGGUAUCAAACAGGAUUAGAUACCCGUGUAGUC
rnacentral:rRNA from 1 species